GACGAACGCUGGCGGCGUGCUUAACACAUGCAAGUCGAACGGAAAGGCCCUGCUUUUGUGGGGUGCUCGAGUGGCGAACGGGUGAGUAACACGUGAGUAACCUGCCCUUGACUUUGGGAUAACUUCAGGAAACUGGGGCUAAUACAGGAUAGGAGCUCCUGCUGCAUGGUGGGGGUUGGAAAGUUUCGGCGGUUGGGGAUGGACUCGCGGCUUAUCAGCUUGUUGGUGGGGUAGUGGCUUACCAAGGCGUUGACGGGUAGCCGGUUUGAGAGGGUGACCGGCCAGACUGCGAAUGAGAGACGGAGAAGACUCAGACGGGAGGGAGAAGUGGGGAAUUUUGGACAAAGGGGGGAACGCUGAUCGAGCCAUACCGCGUGUGAGAUGAGGGCCUUCGGGUUGUAAAGCAAUGUUGUCAGGAAAGAAAAGGAGAGGGCUAAUAACCCGUGGAACUGACGGUACCUGAAGAAUAAGCAACGGAUAACUACGUG
rnacentral:rRNA from 1 species